UACAGAGGGUGCAAGCGUUGUUCGGAAUUACUGGGCGUAAAGCGCGUGUAGGCGGUCUCGCAAGUCGGGUGUGAAAGCCCUUGGCUUAACCAAGGAACUGCAUUCGAAACUACGGGACUAGAGUAUCGGAGGGGGUGGCGGAAUUCCCGGUGUAGAGGUGAAAUUCGUAGAUAUCGGGAGGAACACCUGUGGCGAAGGCGGCCACCUGGAAGAUUACUGACGCUGAGACGCGAAAGCGUGGGGAGCAAACAGG
rnacentral:rRNA from 1 species